rnacentral:rRNA from 1 species
GAUGAACGCUGGCGGCGUGCCUAAUACAUGCAAGUCGAGCGAACAGACGAGGAGCUUGCUCCUCUGACGUUAGCGGCGGACGGGUGUGUAACACGUGGAUAACCUACCUAUAAGACUGGGAUAACUUCGGGAAACCGGAGCUAAUACCGGAUAAUAUAUUGAACCGCAUGGUUCAAUAGUGACAGACGGUUUUGCUGUCACUUAUAGAUUGAUCCGGGCCGCAUUCGCUAGUUGGUAAGGUACCGGCUUACCAAGGCAACGAUGCGUAGCCGACCUGAGAGGGUGAUCGGCCACACUGGAACUGAGACACGGUCCAGACUCCUACGGGAGGCAGCAGUAGGGAAUCUUCCGCAAUGGGCGAAAGCCUGACGGAGCAACGCCGCGUGAGUGAUGAAGGUCUUCGGAUCGUAAAACUCUGUUAUUAGGGAAGAACAAAUGUGUAAGUAACUAUGCACGUCUUGACGGUACCUAAGCAGAAAGCCACGGCUAACUACGUG